AAUCUAUCAUGCCCCGGGGUCCCUGUUUGGAUUUAAAACCAAUGCGGAAGUGCCCAAAUUUUUUUUUUUUUUGAAAACCUUGACCCUAGGGGAUGUCAGAUCCACCAUAAAUACAGAGAAUCCACUGUUCACACGGACAGAGUCUCCCCUGUAUUUGCACGGCGUCGUAUAAGUACAAGAUACAACCACAUACAUAUAACAUCCACAUACAUAAACCACAUCACAAUUUUCACUUUAUUCCAUCACAGAUAGAUAUAAAUUCACAUCUAUUAGUUUAAAACGUUUUCUAUCCGGAAACUCAUUUGGAAACACUAAGAAUCAUAAAAACUAAGAAAAUGCCCUUUUAAAAUUAUUUCCGACACGAAAACCUUUUUCUUUUAAAACACGCUACCACGAGGGGUAGAAAACCAUAUUCCAUCGCAUAGGAAAAACCAUAAAUCUUUUAUUACAUUCACAAAAACAUAUUUAUCCAAUUUAAGCAAACCACUGAACCAUAAAUACUAAGUUAAUUAUUUAAGAAGUCGA
rnacentral:lncRNA from 1 species